ACUUGGGUAAAUCCCAAGAUUCGUGCACCGGCUCCCCCCUCUCUCUUUCUCUCUCUCUCUCUCUUAUAAAUCGAAUUUAUAAAAAUGUGGUAUGUUUUCAUCAUGGCAUUAAAGUCUAAAUUUAAGGUUGCGUGCGUGAUAUUAGUCACGCACGCUUAAGAACCGUGACCGACGUCUGAAAUCGUUCGUGUGCACAACCUCCAUUCUCUCCCUCUCGGUUUUUUUUUUUCUUCUCUCUCGAGAGGAUGACGUCGUGCUUGAGAAAUUUGAUUGAAAUUUUGUUUCGUAAAAGCGGUACGAUACACGUCGAUUCUCUUUCUAGAUAGAGGGAAAAUUCGAGAGUUCCUUCUCGUGUUUCAUUAUAUAUCUCUGGAGAGAAACCGAGGAAAGAGGGUAUUUCUGCUGGCGUGACGUCAUAAUCUUCAAAGGGAUGAGAGAAUCAGAGCGCAUUGCAUUACUGCCAGCAUCAAAAGAAGUGUCAUAAUAUCCGAAAGGCCUCAUCUUAUUGGCUACUACGAUAAGAAUUUGAUAAUUAAAAUAUCCCCCUGGUGUUUUAAACCGAAAUAAAAUUUGUUAGCAUCGAUUUGAGUAACGCGGCAUUCUUUUAUUCUGCCAUUCGGCUUUUGUUUUAGUGGAAUUGAAUGUCUGCAAUAUGCGUCACAGUCGAUAUCUGGUUACACACUAUAUAUAUAUAAAAAAAACUGGAUUUAUGUUAUUUUUUUUAAGUACGGACCAUAAACUGGAAAAUCUUUUCUGGUAUUGUAAAUAAUUAGGUCAGAAAUAUAGGUCAUUUAGAAAUAAUACAGGUGGAUACACGAGAUGGGUAUGCUACAGAUUACUGUUUUGUAAUAACAUUUUUUUUUUUUGCAUGCCUUUGUGUAUAAUCUUUUGGCAUACUGCUUACAGAGGAAUCGAUCCAGUUAUCUGAUCCUAAUUUUCGAUAAACGCCCCGAUUUUAAACGUAGCACUAGGUUACAUUUUCUCGUUGGGCGCGAUCCGCGCCAGGUUUUAUUCAUUCAUUCAUUUAUUUUUUAAAUUAAAUAUUGCAUCAGUUGGCAAAUUUUUUUAUAUAAAAAGUUUUUAGAAAUUGGAGACUUUCGAGUUGUCUCUAUUAUUAUUUUUAUUUUAAUUUAGAUUCGCUUCGUUUUGGAGAAAACAAACAAGAACAUAAAAGUUGGUUAAUGAAUGCAGAGCGGGAAAUCCCCUAGCGCAUCGUUAGAGACGUCAAAGUGAGCUUAAUUUGUUGGUAUUGCUCGGUUUAACGCAGUUAAACGACCACUGAGGUGAUCAAAAUGAUUUGGAGACAAUCAAUAACAAGAUUUUUUUAGUGAACAUGGGCUCAGAAGAGGUUUCGUUAUGAGACAGAUUAAAGGAAAAUUGGUCUUCUAUAUUAUCCGCAUGGUAACAUUAAUUAUAACAGUAUACAGUCAUAUAUAUCGCUGUUGUAAUACUGUCUUAUCCCGAUUACACAGUCCAUAAUGUCAAAAUAAUGUUCGGUUUAGUGCGAAAUUACGGCACGCUUGGCGAUCGUCAUUUCAAAAUGUCCGUUACUGUUCGGCGCGAAACGACUCGUCGCGACGCGUGCGAAACGUCGCAUCGUACGUGUAGAAUUUUUCUUAUAGAUAUAUAUAUAUAUGACAACAAAACAUUUAAGCCGAGAUCAAUUUAUCAUCAUUUCAUUUAUCUUAAUUACCAACAACAACAACAACACAGGUAAGAAUCACGCGAUCGUCGCUACGAGAAUUAUUAAUGACUUUACGUCUCGAAACAGCAACGAAAACAGUCCCGCGUCGGAUAAAAGUUGGGUCAUCUGGCAGGAAGAAAAAAAAAAAAAAAAAAAACUAGCC
rnacentral:lncRNA from 1 species